rnacentral:rRNA from 1 species
AAAGCUCAAAUUUAAAAUCUGGUGGUCUUUGGCUGCCCGAGUUGUAAUCUAGAGAAGCAUUAUCCGCGCUGGACCAUGUAUAAGUCUCCUGGAAUGGAGCGUCAUAGAGGGUGAGAAUCCCGUCUUUGACAUGGACUACCAGGGCAUUGUGAUGUGCUCUCAAAGAGUCGAGUUGUUUGGGAAUGCAGCUCUAAAUGGGUGGUAAAUUUCAUCUAAAGCUAAAUAUGGGUGAGAGACCGAUAGCGAA